AGCUAUCUGUAAUACACUUCCUGUGUGUUUCUCUGGCUCAGCGUCGGCUUCUUGGGAACUUGGUCCAUGACAGUUGGUGCCAAGAGUGGUUUCAGAAAUCAGUUGCUAAGAUGAGAUUUUGGAGCCGGAUCACUUGCUGCUUGUUUGGCAAUGAGGACCUCCACCAACCACAGGAUAGCAUCUGGCAUGAGAUAGCAGUGCACCUGCUAAUACUUACACCAGACUUAGCAGAACUGCCUUCCAUAUUCCUGGAAUCAUGAGAUCUUGGAAGAACAUACUCAACUGAAAGAAAAAAAAAAAAUAAAGAAGACUUUCUCAUCUACUUGCUUCCCAGAUUUUUGAAACUGAUCCAAUGCAUAAUCUUUGGUGGUAGUGGUUGUUAAAAUGGCUGGUGGAGGCAAAGAGGCAUGAUGGGAAAUUUUGGAGUCAAAACUCUGGAAUUCUCUGUGUUUUCUGGUGGCAGACGUUUCAUUUAUUAGUCAGUUCACUUAAAAUUUGCAUCAAAGACUAUAACCUGACAAUAUGAGAAUUAUACUUUUUUUUUCCCCAUUUUGCUCUGCAUUUUAAGGCCAUCCCAAGCCCAAUGGCAUUUUCCUGUUGCAUUGUGCUGGUGGUGUCACCAUAAGAUAUAUUAAAAUGAAUGAGAUGUA